rnacentral:rRNA from 1 species
UACGAAGGGGGCGAGCGUUGUUCGGAAUUACUGGGCGUAAAGGGCUCGUAGGCGGCCAACUAAGUCAGACGUGAAAUCCCUCAGCUUAACUGGGGAACUGCGUCUGAUACUGGAUGGCUUGGAUUUGGGAGAGGGAUGCGGAAUUCCAGGUGUAGCGGUGAAAUGCGUGAGAUAUCUGGAGGAACACCGGUGGCGAAGGCGGCAUCCUGGACCAAUAUUGACGCUGAGGAGCGAAAGCCAGGGGAGCAAACGGG